UAAUAAAAAAAUUUAAGGACUACAUAACCAUUUCGACGACUUACUGACGGAAAUUAGCUCGUCGUUAAGGAAUUUCCAACGAAAAAGUCAGUCGCAAACGUUUCCAAUGAAUUCAAUUUUUUGUAAUAGUAGCUUAACCCUAGCUUCUUUGUGAAAUGUUUCCGUGUUUAACAGGUGUGUCAAAAGGAAUUUAGCCUCAAGCUUGAGAACAAACUAUGUAUGUACUCUGAUUAUGAAGAAUAAGCAAUGCUAUCAGCUGCAAACUGAAGUACACCAGCACACUAGGGCAAUUCUCAACUCACUUUGUUUCUGCAAAUCUGCAGCUCUUGCAUCCUCACUACCAUUAUUAAUAAGAGAAUACUCAAAAUUUGUGACAUGGACCGUUCGCCUCGUUUGUCGUCUCAAGUUCAAAUAGAAAGACUAGCACUUCCAUUAAUUAGAGAAAACUAAGGGAAGCAACCAUGCGGCACUUGGCAAUAUCAUCAAACAUUUCGAGGUUAAAAAUUGUUUGAAUUCAUAGUAUCAACAGAAAUUUC